CAAACUGGAGAUGGCGACCGGCGCACGGGUGAGUAACGCGUAUCCAACCUGCCGAUAACUCGGGGAUAGCCUUUCGAAAGAAAGAUUAAUACCCGAUGGCGUAAUAGAACCGCAUGGUUUGAUUAUUAAAGAAUUUCGGUUAUCGAUGGGGAUGCGUUCCAUUAGGCAGUUGGUGGGGUAAUGGCCCACCAAACCUUCGAUGGAUAGGGGUUCUGAGAGGAAGGUCCCCCACAUUGGAACUGAGACACGGUCCAAACUCCUACGGGAGGCAGCAUG
rnacentral:rRNA from 1 species